UCCCGAGCGUCUGGUACGGCGCUCUGCCCGCGGGAGGCGCCCGUCUGACACCGGUUUCUUCUCAGCGGCGCGGGCUGAGCGCCUAACGUGGGCCGAGCGCCGCACCCAACGCCGGGG